CAAUGGAGCAUCCUGUCACCAGGAAAUAGAUGAAGGCAAAUCCUGUCGCUUCAAAGAAGGCAAACUUGAUUUUCCACCGUUUCAUCCCUUGACUCACCGCUGCUACCUCUGAGAGGGACCGGAAGGCUGGGAGCAGCCUGCGACCCAAUCAGUGCUCCAUGCCACCAAACCAGCAGUGCUGCAUCUAUUCUCCCCUCCCUUUGAACAGAUGUGAGUAAAGCUGUCAGCAAAUUAAAAACACAAGCCGUGG
rnacentral:lncRNA from 1 species